rnacentral:rRNA from 3 species
UUAAAUUGAAGAGUUUGAUCAUGGCUCAGAUUGAACGCUGGCGGCAGGCCUAACACAUGCAAGUCGAACGGUAACAGGAAGCAGCUUGCUGCUUCGCUGACGAGUGGCGGACGGGUGAGUAAUGUCUGGGAAACUGCCUGAUGGAGGGGGAUAACUACUGG